ensembl:lncRNA
GCCAUUCCCCAACUCUCUGUGAAUUGUACUCAUGGCCAUUGAUCAGUAGUUGUUGCUCAAUGGUCAUGACAAUUUGCAUCAAGGGAACUGACCUCACAGCCCAUUGUUCAUUCAGUGGUGCUAGUUUCAGUCAUUAUGCAAAUGUACUGUUUAUAAGAAAAACCUGCAGUUAACUGAGACUGAAGAACUUGGAAAAGUUACGAAACGUUUCUCCGACUGAAAAUGCUACGUCCAGAUGAACAGAAUCAAUUUUUUGGGACAAACUUGUGACACACAUCAGCCUCCAGUCAUCUCAGGGAAAACGAUGGUGCAUGGAGCAGUAUGCAUUCCAUGACAGUGAAAAGGAAAUGCACAAGACUUCUUGGAAGUUAGAUAAUGUGAUAAACAAAGGUAACAUUAGAAAUACCAAGUCGUAGCUCACACCCGGCUUCUCAGAAUCUUGUCCAAGACAUUUGGAGUGACUGCCGCGAAUCACCAUUAUCAGGAAACACAGGACCACCAUCAUAAUUUCUGUUCCCUUCUCUCCUGAUUGCAAGUGGCAGUAAACAAAGUGGAUAGCUUGCAGUCAUAGUUAAAAGUUUUCUUUUAAUAUCAGAACAUGGUUUUUAAAAAUAAUCUGGUCUUUAGCAGCUUCUAAAAUAAUUUAAAUAUAACCUCAGGUGUAAAAUUGCACACAACAGAUUCCACUGUUUAAUUGUUUAUUUAACAAAAAUGCAAAAUAAAAUAAACAUUUAACAUGUUUAGCUGGUUGAGUCUAAUGAUGAUCUACUCCAGAGAGGACUAGCAAGUCUUUCCACUAAUGAAUCUCACUACACAAGCAUGGACUUUAAAUAGUUAGAAAAUUAGUCGGUUAACCAAAAGCAUUCGAAUAGAAGCACCUGGCUGCUGCUUUCCUUUUUAAUGGCAGCAGUAAGGUGUUUUUAGCGAUUCACUUACACCUUCUGCAUUUGGCUUAGCUUUUCUUAAAUAAUGACAGCGCAUUAAUUCAUAUGUUGUUCACCUGAGGUUAUAUCUACCCAAUUGUUUAAAAAAAAAAAAAAAAAAAAAAGACCAGACAAUUUUUAUUAUAUUUUUAUAUGUAAAACCUUAGAAUUGAAAGGUGAUGAUGGGACAAAGCAGUGUCAAUAGGAAGAAAUGCUAAUGGCAGAACACUUGAUCACAGCAUGGACCCAAAGGCCACAUUAAGACAGUAGAACCUAGUGAAUAUGUAAAAUGUUGUCUGGGAUGCCACUGCACAGAUUUCCCCUGGGGGGCAGGCACACGUGCUGCUUCAUACUCUUGUUUUAUUGUGUCACCAAGCCAGUGAGAAAGUCACUGUCUGAACAGAGCCUUAUCCCUUGUACUUUCAGAUGCAAUGACUGGAGUGGAUAUAGCAAAUCCAAAUCACAGUUUCUGUACUGCAAAGAUAAUGCAGCCCAGAGCCUCUGACAUGGUCUCCUUGUUGGAGAAGAACUUAAAUUCUGCAUGGUAUGAUAAACUAAGGGCUUGAGGUCCCUGUUCAAGACCCUGCAGGGAGUAGGGAACCAGACUGUUGAUGGACACUUGGGUGCCACCAAGAGGACCCUGAGCUCUGACUGUCUGACCCUGUGAAACAUUAUUGAAGGAAUCAGGGGGAAAGCGUAAAGAAGGUGGUGUUGGUGAAAGCAUCCAACACCAGGUCUUUCCAUGUAAAAAUAAAUUUCCUGAUUUAAGUUUUAAGAAAUACACAAAGAUACUAACUCGAUUUAUCCAUGUGACAUUUCAUCGGAUCCAUUUGAACCUCAUGAAGGAUAUUAAAUGGUAAAUUUUCAGUUUUUGAUCCUGCUGAUUAAAGACUGUUCAGUGUGGGGUUUUAUUAUUCGCCACAGUCUCAGUGAAAUGAAUAAACAUAAUUAGAUAUGGAAUCAUUGUUUCCUAGUACCUGCUACCAAAGCUCACGCUUAAGCCUAAGUCAUUUCUUUAUCAUUUUUUAGCUGUUAUUUUACACUGUUUCAAAUCAAAGGUCCUGAAAUGUCUUCCUUGUAAACUUACAUGUUGUAACAAUUAAUUUUUGCAGUACUUUUAACAGGAAAGUUGAAGUGAAUGAAAAUUAAGCCUGAAUAAUAAUUUUAAAGAAGGAAAUAAAAAUAUGGAUUCUGAAAUAA